AACGAACGCUGGCGGCGUGCUUAACACAUGCAAGUCGAACGUGAUUGAGAGCUUGCUCUCAUGAAAGUGGCGCACGGGUGAGUAACACGUGGAUAAUCUGCCUGGCGAUUCGGGAUAACACUUCGAAAGGGGUGCUAAUACCGGAUAAGCCCACAGUCCCUUCGGAGGGUGCGGGAAAAGGGGGCCUCUGUAUAUGCUCCUGUCGCUAGAUGAGUCCGCGGCCCAUUAGCUAGUUGGUAGGGUAAUGGCCUACCAAGGCGACGAUGGGUAGCUGGUCUGAGAGGAUGAUCAGCCACACUGGAACUGAGACACGGUCCAGACUCCUACGGGAGGCAGCAGUGGGGAAUUUUGCGCAAUGGGCGAAAGCCUGGCGCAGCAACGCCGCGUGAGUGAUGAAGGCCUUCGGGUCGUAAAGCUCUGUCAGAGGGGAAGAACCGCCGGGUGGCUAAUACCUGCCUGGUCUGACGGUACCCUCAAAGGAAGCACCGGCUAACUCCGUGCCAGCAGCCGCGGUAAUAC
rnacentral:rRNA from 1 species